rnacentral:misc_RNA from 1 species
GAAAAAAAUAUCUCAAAAUGUAUAAAUGUUGACAAUGUCUUUGAUUAACGGACCGAAAAUUUUGUUGAGUUAUUUUCUUUUUUUUCCAAUAUGAUAAUUUAUUUUCUGAAGCACAAUGUAUCUGCAUGUCACAUUUUUUUUAUACAGAUUGGAUUGAUUUGCCAAUCAUGACAUUUCAUGUUCAUGUAAAAUAUGAAGAUAUCAUCAGCUGAUGUGAAAUUUCACCAUCAAUUCAUGUAUUCAUAUUUUUUUUCUCUCUGGUGCCUAACGUUCAUUUUGUCAGUGCCAUUUUUGUAUCAAAGGAUAUCAGGUUGAUUUUGUAAGCAUUUAGCUGUCAUAUAUUUUACUAGGAUAUUAAUAUGCAUUAAAUUAACUCAACCUGAACUGCU